UGACACUCGCCCUAAAUGAGCUUGAAUCGGUAUCUUGUUUAGGGAUAAACCCUAAAAAGGAAAGGAGGAAAAAGAGGAGGACGCCGAUUUUCUUUAGACGAUCGAUACCGAAAUGAUGAAAGAACUCAAGCACCAUCCCACGGUCUAGUUUACCCAUAAUCAAGAGGAGUAGAGGAACGGACUUUCUUCCUAUGGGGAAGGAAAGGG
rnacentral:misc_RNA from 1 species